CUCAUUUUGGAGGAAGGAACGGAAGAGAAUAAUUAAGGCUUCACCUGAAGAAGGGAAGAAUCAGUGGAGUCACCAGGAGACACAGAAGGAGCAAGACAUGCUGGAGGACAGGAACAUCAAUGGUGAGAGCUGGGUAGAAGUGGAGAAUAACAAUUAUUCUCGAUAAAUUGGCACGUGUUGGGCAUGAUUAUCUGCCUAUUUGCUCAUUAAUCCUUGGAAUAGUCCGCUGAGGAAUGCAUCACCACCCAACCCAUCUUGACAGCGAGGAACCCGGAGUUGAAAAAGACCCAGUCACGUGUCACGGGGUGAAGAGGAGAAACAAGAAGUUCUGCAUUUUACUGAUACUCGUCUUUGUUGAUUUAAAAGCCCAUUUUUUUUAUUCAAUUUCAAGAUCCAGACCAUUUCCAGAAAAA